rnacentral:rRNA from 1 species
UACGUAGGCAGCGAGCGUUGUUCGGAGUUACUGGGCGUAAAGCGUGCGUAGGCGGUGUCUUAAGUUUGUUGUGAAAUCUCCCGGCUUAACCGGGAGGGUGCGGCGAAUACUGAGAUGCUGGAGUGCCGGAGAGGUAAGCGGAAUUCCUGGUGUAGCGGUGAAAUGCGUAGAUAUCUGGAGGAACACCGGUGGCGAAGGCGGCAUCCUGGACCGACACUGACGCUGAGGAGCGAAAGCCAGGGGAGCAAACGGG